rnacentral:rRNA from 1 species
GAUGAACGCUAGCGGCAGGCCUAACACAUGCAAGUCAGGGGUAACAGAGAAGCUUGCUUCUGCUGACGACCGGCGCACGGGUGCGUAACGCGUAUGCAACCUACCUCAUACAGGAGAAUAGCCCUUGGAAACGAGGAUUAAUACUCCAUAGUAUCAUUCUUUCGCAUGUUAGAAUGAUUAAAGAAUUUCGGUAUGAGAUGGGCAUGCGUCCCAUUAGCUUGUUGGUGAGGUAACGGCUCACCAAGGCAACGAUGGGUAGGGGGCCUGAGAGGGUGGUCCCCCACACUGGUACUGAGACACGGACCAGACUCCUACGGGAGGCAGCAGUGAGGAAUAUUGGUCAAUGGAGGAAACUCUGAACCAGCCAUGCCGCGUGAAGGAUGACGGCCCUAUGGGUUGUAAACUUCUUUUAUAUGGGAAGAAACUUAUCUACGUGUAGAUAACUGACGGUACCAUACGAAUAAGGAUCGGCUAACUCCGUG